rnacentral:rRNA from 1 species
GUGGAUGAGGCAUGCAAGUCGAACGAAGUCGCAAGACUUAGUGGCGGAAGGGUUAGUAAUACAUGGGUAACUUGCCUUUAACUUGGGAAUAACGGUUGGAAACGACCGCUAAUACCGAAUGUGGAGGAUUUAAGGCAUCUUAGAUCUUUUAAAGUGGGGGACCAGCAAUGGCCUCGCGGUUAAAGAAAGGCUCAUGAGAUAUCAGCUAGUUGGUGUGGUAAAGGCGCACCAAGGCUAAGACGUCUAGGCGGAUUGAGAGAUUG